AAAACAGCAUAUCGGCAAAAAAUACUUUAUAAUAAAUUAAAAGAUAUUCUUCCAGCCUAGUUGUAACAUUUUGGGUGUGACUGGCAUUAAUUUGAGUAAAAAUAUGGAAAUAAAAAGAUGAAAGUAUGGGGAAAAAUAAAAACAGAACCCGAAGUAAACUUUUUUUCUCACUUAACCAAGAGAAAUACAUUAUUUUAUCUUUACUCCACUUUUUUCUAUCCCUAGCGUAAGUGGACUGAAUAAAUAUUUAUCCUGAUUGGAAAAAAAUAGCGUAACUCAGCUGAAUAGUUUGUUACUCCAAUUUAUUAUCGUCCAUUGUGUCAUUCAAUCACACUUUCUGUUUCUUUCGCAGAUGUACAAUAUAAAGGUGUGAUUGGUUAAAUAAUGGAGUAAAAAAGUGGAAAAGAACAGUGACAAUAUGAUGAAAAGAAAACCAUAUCGCAAAAUCAAGUGUUGAGUCAUUUUUGGUAAUUUUCCUUAAAAAAUGCUAACAAAAAUUCACAAUUCUUUAAUUCAUUAGAUAGAUGACGGAUGUAUCUCUCUACAAAACACAACAACAUCUUCAAGGGGUAUUAGAAACAGCAACUAAACAUUUUCUGUUUUCAAACCCUUUAUUAGCAAAGUCAGCAAGAAACAUAUAUGGUGUGUAACUGUCCAUAUAUAUAACAUUGCAUGAAAACCACAUGCGGCACUAAAUUAUACAAUAUAUAUGUUAUUUUAAACUAUGAUUUGAAUUGAAAAAAAUAUGCACCAAACAUGUCAUCUUUUCCAAAAUUUCAAUUCAAUCGCU
rnacentral:lncRNA from 1 species